rnacentral:lncRNA from 1 species
UAUUAUACAGCUAUUAUCGAGGCUUAUAAGCAUCGCAAAAUAACCUUCCGAUCCUUUUCAAAGCAUCGAAAAAGCAUCGAUAGAUGAAGAGUGAAAAUAAAUAUUCUCGAUGCUUUUAUGCAUCGUUGGUAGAUAUUGAUGCUUUUCAGGCAUUGGCAAGUUUUAAUAACUACUGAUGCUUUUUUUGUGUCGGUAAUUAUUUUUCACUACCGACACUUUGAAAUAUCGAUAAUUUUUUUACAUUACCAUCACUUUAAAGUGUCGGCAAUUAUAUACUUCAUAAAAAAAAAUAUUUCUUAAUUCUGGAAUGCUCAAAAGUGGUUAAAGAGCGCC